rnacentral:rRNA from 1 species
GAUGAACGCUGACAGAAUGCUUAACACAUGCAAGUCGAUUCGAUUUACCUUCGGGUAUUGAGGAUGGCGGACGGGUGAGUAACGCGUAAGGAACUUGCCUCUUGGUCUGGGACAACUGUUGGAAACGACAGCUAAUACCGGAUAUUAUGAGAUUCUCGCAUGGGAAACUUAUGAAAGCUAUAUGCGCCAAGAGAGAGCCUUGCAUUCCAUUAGCUAGUUGGUGGGGUAACGGCCCACCAAGGCGACGAUGGAUAGCCGGCCUGAGAGGGUGAACGGCCACAAGGGGACUGAGACACGGCCCUUACUCCUACGGGAGGCAGCAGUGGGGAAUAUUGGACAAUGGGCCACAAGCCUGAUCCAGCAAUUCUGUGUGCACGAUGAAGGUCUUCGGAUUGUAAAGUGCUUUCAGUUGGGAAGAAGAAAGUGACGGUACCAACAGAAGAAGCGACGGCUAAAUACGUGCCAGCAGCCGCGGUAAUACGUAUGUCGCAAGCGUUAUCCGGAUUUAUUGGGCGUAAAGCGCGUCUAGGCGGAAAAGUAAGUCUGAUGUUAAAAUGCGGGGCUCAACUCCGUAUUGCGUUGGAAACUGUUUUUCUAGAGUACUGGAGAGGUGGGCGGAACUACAAGUGUAGAGGUGAAAUUCNUA